rnacentral:rRNA from 1 species
UACGAAGGGGGGCUAGCGUUGCUCGGAAUUACUGGGCGUAAAGCGUGCGCAGGCGGUGAGCUGUGUCCGAUGUGAAAGCCCCGGGCUUAACCUGGGAAUGGCAUUGGAAACUGGCUCGCUGGAGUGUGGCAGAGGGGGGUGGAAUUCCGCGUGUAGCAGUGAAAUGCGUAGAGAUGCGGAGGAACACCGAUGGCGAAGGCAGCCCCCUGGGCUAACACUGACGCUCAGGCACGAAAGCGUGGGGAGCAAACAGG